rnacentral:rRNA from 1 species
UACGUAGGUGGCGAGCGUUGUCCGGAUUUACUGGGCGUAAAGAGCGCGCAGGCGGUGCGAUCAGUCGAAUGUGAAAGCCCCCGGCUCAACUGGGGAGGGUCAUUCGAUACUGUCGGACUCGAAGGCAGGAGAGGGAAGCGGAAUUCCCGGUGUAGUGGUGAAAUGCGUAGAUAUCGGGAGGAACACCAGUGGCGAAGGCGACUUCCUGGCCUGUUCUUGACGCUGAGGCGCGAAAGCUAGGGUAGCAAACGGG